rnacentral:rRNA from 2 species
GCCUAAUACAUGCAAGUCGAGCGAAUGGAUUGAGAGCUUGCUCUCAAGAAGUUAGCGGCGGACGGGUGAGUAACACGUGGGUAACCUGCCCAUAAGACUGGGAUAACUCCGGGAAACCGGGGCUAAUACCGGAUAACAUUUUGAACUGCAUGGUUCGAAAUUGAAAGGCGGCUUCGGCUGUCACUUAUGGAUGGACCCGCGUCGCAUUAGCUAGUUGGUGAGGUAACGGCUCACCAAGGCAACGAUGCGUAGCCGACCUGAGAGGGUGAUCGGCCACACUGGGACUGAGACACGGCCCAGACUCCUACGGGAGGCAGCAGUAGGGAAUCUUCCGCAAUGGACGAAAGUCUGACGGAGCAACGCCGCGUGAGUGAUGAAGGCUUUCGGGUCGUAAAACUCUGUUGUUAGGGAAGAACAAGUGCUAGUUGAAUAAGCUGGCACCUUGACGGUACCUAACCAGAAAGCCACGGCUAACUACGUGCCAGCAGCCGCGGUAAUACGUAGGUGGCAAGCGUUAUCCGGAAUUAUUGGGCGUAAAGCGCGCGCAGGUGGUUUCUUAAGUCUGAUGUGAAAGCCCACGGCUCAACCGUGGAGGGUCAUUGGAAACUGGGAGACUUGAGUGCAGAAGAGGAAAGUGGAAUUCCAUGUGUAGCGGUGAAAUGCGUAGAGAUAUGGAGGAACACCAGUGGCGAAGGCGACUUUCUGGUCUGUAACUGACACUGAGGCGCGAAAGCGUGGGGAGCAAACAGGAUUAGAUACCC